CUAGCACUAUGUGCUAUGUAAACUCUAUCACAGCUUACUACUUACAACAGGUUUUAACGAUUGAUGUGAUCAUCUCUAAUUACAGAUGAGAAAACUCAAGUGAAUCUCAUGUGGCUAGAAGACCAUCAUAAACGAGAGGAAAAUAAGAAGAAAAGGGACACUUUGGUCUGUUGACUUGAGACUUCUGCAAUUUUAAGUAUCUGAAAGUGGAUGAUGACGAUGAUAAUAAAGCCCCUUAGAAGCUUGGGCCGAAUCUCUUACAGGGAGAGAAAGCUUCCCAGCUGGUAAGCCCAGAGAUGAGAAUGCAGAGGCCCAGCCAUGUGUGGUGGAAACAGAGUUGGAGCCUGGGCACCUGGGGUUGAGCGCCCCCUUGGGAAGGGCAUCUGAUUUCUCUUGGCUUCAGUUUCUUUCCCACACACGUCAACCCUGCAGCCGUGGAAGACGGAUCUGUUCUGGAGUGACCCUACGUGAAGUGGUUUUCUUAAGAUGCUCUUCCUUCGGAGAGUCUCAGAGCCACGGCCUAGGUCAAGCCAGCUUGACGCACUUUGUCCUUCUGAGGAAGGACACCAUCACUGCCCACCUUGCUGGACCGUUUAGAAUUAAAGGGAACACGUUUCAGAUAAAAGUCCUCAGAAAAAAGUAAAUGCCGUGAGAUUGCAAGGUUAUUGUUGGUGACGUAGUUUGUUUUUGCAGAGAACUGAAUAGGUUUUUCUGGAGGUGAUAAUUGGGAAGGGCUUUCCCCCUGCCACCAGGCACCAAAGGAGCCAGGCUGAGCUAUUUCAAUGGAGAAUUUCAUGAACAAGGUGGAACAAGACCUUGAGCUUCUGUGCAGGCAGUGCGAGGCAACAGCUUAAAUAAUGUGGAAGAGGGAAGAUGCGCUCUGGUUCUUAAUGAAGGGGACUCGAAGAAGCGUGUUUCCUUCUCCAGCGUUCUUGAAUGUGGAGAGAGCUGUGAUUUCCAUGGAAUGAAUAGUGGCCCAGCUUCCUACCUCCCCUUCGUCAGCCAGCUGACACCCAACCCUGGGAUCUGGGGAGCAGGAAGAUCAGGUUUAAGUCCUAAUUCCUAGGAAACUUUGCCUCAGCUCACCAGGUUCAUUCCAACCAAAAGGUGAAAGGAAACUAAGAGUUAGCUGAGCCAAGAAAGGCAAUCACCAACACAGACCAGAACCGAGUUAGGUCACUCCGGGCUUUCUGCACCAUUGCCACCAUUAACACCUGGAAAGCCUUUGAUUCUCACAUUAGCAAAACAUGCCAUAAAGCAUGCACUUCCUCUCUUCCCUCAGACCCGGGUCCCAUUGCAAGAAGGAGGGGGACUGUUACAAAGGCGCCAUUCAGCCCUGGCAAGGCUUUCUUGAUUAGGCCUCUGAGGGGAGACUUCAACCAAGUCUUCUCACAGAACGUGCAGGCAGUCACAGCAUCCGAUCCCCAGCAGCCACUGGGUGAAGGGCUCUUGGAAUGGCCAAGCCCAGGAGGACGGUGGAGAUGAACGAGUCAAACCACCUUAUUUUAUAGAGAAGGAAAUUGAUGCCUCAGGUGAAGAUUUUAAUUUGCAACAUGAAUUCCGAUGUCUACCAUGUGUCAGACACGAUGCAAUAUUUUGAGGACGAGCUGCUUCCUAACUUCAGCUCUUUCGGAAGACGGUCAGUCAUGUACGUGGUGCAGGAAAUGUUCACCAUCUACACCUGAGUACAAAAUAGCUGUGAAUGUAACGAGAGCCCAUAUUCCCAAUUAGAAAGUCCAAAAUAGGGUUGCGUGCGUACACGUGUGCGCGCACACACACACAAUCAAACACAAUUUGUAUACAAGUAGAUAAGUUUGCCAAAUACUUCAUCAAAUAUUUAGAUUACAAAUUAGCUAUACAUUUAAAAUUGCAUAAUUUAUAAACUAUUGAAAUCUUUCUGCUCUCAUUUCACCAUGCAAGUUUAUUCACUCUCUCCGCAUGGCUCCUGUGUUGGUAUCUGCUUGUCAGUGGGACUACUCUUCGAGUCGUCUAAGGCAUCUUCACCUCCAUCUAAGAGGCAGCUCUUCCAGAAUCCUUGUAAGAUGCUGUCACUGGAAAUUUUAUCUCAAGGCACAAGUUUCAGUCCAUUAUUCAUGAUCCUCACGACAUAACUCUCUUUCUCUAUUGCUUUUUUAAAGUGAUUUUUUUAAAGCCUUGUUUGUGAUAACAUGCCAGGAAUGGACUUGAGAGGUCAUAAUCGACCCUCCCCCCAGAGGAAUAAUUACACCUAAAUUAAAUUUCUUUGCCCCCUUUGUUAAUAAUUCCAUUAGGUGACUUGUAUGGGGAUCCAGGAGCAACAUUUAAUGAGGUUGCUUCGUGCUAAUGACUCUUCUCUAAAUACUACUCUGAUUUGAAAAAUAAAAUAUUGAGGACAGUCCCCUAUAAUAGAUUU
rnacentral:lncRNA from 1 species